GACGAACGCUGGCGGCGUGCUUAACACAUGCAAGUCGAACGGAAAGGCCUUGCUUUUGUGGGGUGCUCGAGUUGCUAACGGGUGAGUAACACGUGAGUAACCUGCCUUUGACUUUGGGAUAACUUCAGGAAACUGGGGCUAAUACCUGCUACGAGCUCCUGCUGCAUGGUGUGGGUUGGAAAGGUUCGGCGGCUGGGGCUGGUCGCGCGGCUUAUCAGCUUGUUGGUGAGGUAGUGGCUUACCAAGGCUUUGACGGGUAGCCAGCCUGAGAGGGUGACCGGCCACAGAGGGACUGAGAAGCGAGCAAGACUGAUACGGGAGGAAGCGAUGGGAGAUAGUGCAAAAUGGGCGGAGGGAGGAAGCAGCAACGCCGCGUGGGAGAUGACUGCUAUCGGGUAGGAAACCGCUUUCGGCUGUGAGGAAGAAUGAGUGACGGUAAUGGGUAAAGAAGCAACGGCUAACUACGUG
rnacentral:rRNA from 1 species